CAACAAGAUAGUGGCGAUGGGGUUCUUCAGUACGGUGUUUGGUUUCUUUAGAUUUGGAUGGGGGAUCACCCUCAUCUUAGUCAUAGGUAGUACCUGUGAAUCGUCUCCUAGUCCGCCGACGUCAAAGUGGGAUGAUUUUGGUUCCUCUCUGGAUGGUUUCUUUCGCUUCUUCCAUAUCCUGGUAUAUACUCUGGCCCUAAACAUCAGAUUGAUGAUGUACUAGAAGGCAUUGAAACAUUCAGGAGUAACUUAUUCUAUUGGUGUUGAACAAGAAGGAUUUAAUCAAGCCAGGGGAAAUUGCAAAGAGUCUUGAGGACCAUGAUGCUGAGCUAUGUUCCAUCUACUUCGACCGAGAUUGCAACAUGGAGUUCCAGGACUGCAAGCAUCAGAUGUGUGCCCAUUGCAUACUUGCCUUAUGCUGUCAUGGCAAGCACUACCCAACAACCUUGUGUUUGCCAUCAGCUGUUUGUCCGUUUUGCCGUAGCAACAUUUCAAAGCUGGUGAAGACCAUGACAACACCUCAAAGACCUCAAAUUAUGCCAAAGAAGUAGACCCAAAAAUACAAAAAAUUUAAAAAAUUUGUAACGGCUAGUUAACGGCUAGUUCGAAAUCUCUAUAAAUAUCCAUCAAUAUGUACACAUAUUUUUAUUCCAACUCACUAC